rnacentral:misc_RNA from 1 species
GGCAGCUGAAAUACGUGAUCCACAGAAGGGGGUCCGAGUUUGGAUUGGAACUUUUAAUACUGCAGAAGAAGCUGCCAGAGCUUAUGAUGCUGAAGCUCGGAGGAUCAGAGGCAAUAAAGCUAAAGUAAACUUUCCAGAUGAAGCUUCAGUGCCUGCCUCGAGGCAAGCUGGUAAGGUGAAUCCUCGGAAGGUUCUUUCUGAUGAGAGCUCUAACCCAGUUCCACCCAACACCAUGCUUAUGAACAACUUGAAUAGUGGAUAUUGUGACAAUGUGGGCCUGCUCGAAGAGAAAACAAAGACUCUGAAUGGCUACGAAGCUUUGUGUGUGACUCCUGUAGAUACAGGACCUAACCCAUAUCCCCAUCCAGCUGCUGCUGGUGUUUACUUCAAUUCUGACCAAGGAAGUAACUCUUUUGGCCCCUCAGACUUUUGGGGAGAAACAUGUUCAAGGACUCCAGACAUAUCAUCUGUUCUGUCAGCUGCU